GUACGCUAUUCAGAGUUUGAUCCUGGCUCAGAACGAACGUUAGCGGCGCGCCUAAGACAUGCAAGUCGAGCGAGAAAGGGCUUCGGCCCCGGUAAAGCGGCGCACGGGUGAGUAACACGUAGGUCAUCAACCCUCGAGUGGUGGAUAACUCUCCGAAAGGAGAGCUAAUACAGCAUGACGUUAGCAAUAACCAAAGCGGGCCUCUUCAUGAAAGCUCGCGCUAGAGGAUGAGCCUGCGGCCCAUCAGGUAGUUGGCGGAGUAACAGCCCACCAAGCCUAAGACGGGUAGCUGGUCUGAGAGGAUGAACAGCCACACUGGAACUGAGACACGGUCCAG
rnacentral:rRNA from 1 species